AAGCUUUGCCAGAUAAGUACUUUGGUAUUUAAGCGUGCACAGCACUCACUGCAAGCACUUUUGGACCUUCGCAGUUAGAAGGGGGGUAGGUGAUAUUAAAAUCCACAAGACAGAGAUCCGUAAUCAAUAAGUAGACGUGGAAAAGCUGAUAGAGGGUUUCGCCCUUGAUUGGGCACUGCCAUCAGAUGGGGAAUGUGUAGAGUCCAGAUUGUGCUGGGCUUUAUGUGGUUUCAAGGACACACAGAGAUGAUGAGGACUUUGGGAGCCAACAUCUGCCUGGCUGAUGACGUCAGCGGUCCCGUGUAAUCCUCUUGUGCUGAAGGCAGUUGCCUUAUUUGUUUGGCUGUAGAGCCAUUAAUCCCUAAUUCUGGAUCAGCAAGCGAGGGGAAAAGACCGCACCACUGCAUCCGUCAUUCCCUUAAACAUGACCACAGAUGCACCCUUUUUAAGGCGAGAGCUGCAGGGAUGGGCUGUUAUGCUGCUAUGUCUCCAUAAAAUGGUUUAACCCGGAUCUGCCAGCUGAAGAGUCUUAGAAUGUCGGUCGAUUUUGCAAUGCUUAUUCUACAGUACCAUUCGUGGGUACCGCUUGGAAAUUAAGCCCAAGGAUCCACCCAUUGCUACUGCUGAGAAUGGAUCUGCAGCUGACUCAUAAUAUUAUUUUUUGCUCCUGACGCCAAGUCACAGAUCCACCAAGAGAGGUCAUCUUUGGCCAAUCUUAGGGCUUUCCUUGCUGCUCACAAACUGAAUUCACAACGGUAAAUGUAUAGCAGCUUUGGUGCAGGUUUUUUUACAAUAUCAAUCAAUAUGGAUAUCAAUUCAGUUUAAACAUUUAAAUGGCAGUAGAAGGCUUAGGUUCCUCAGUUGCUUUUUUUUUUCCGGCUAGAGUAAUUGUAGCCAGGCCAUAUGGGCUUCCCAUACUCUCUUGGGAAUGGGCAGGUGCGAUUGAGUUAAUUUUUUCUCAUUACACAGAAAGAUGACACGUCCCGACCUUUCCUAUAAGAUCAUCGGGUCAAUUUCAGACUGCUGCUGAAAGCCACCGUGUUUCAGAGGAGAGUCAUCAUAGCUGAAUGUAUCUAAUGUGCCAGAUUCUGUUUAAUGCAUCACAUCUCAGGAAAAAAAAUCAUAUAUCUAAAGGUGCAAGGGCCAUAAAAAAGACACUCAUGCAGUAUAUGUUGGAGCUUAGCACUAAGGACUAAGGAUUGCCUGCAACCUAUUUAAAGGAGCGUAUAUAACCGGACCUAUAGCACUGCAGUGAGUCGCAUUGCAUAGAGGUGUAAUGCCUGGCAGUAAAAAGGAUGGAAAGGGAGGCAUGGCUGUCCUUCCAGUGAUGCAGAACCUUUUGCUACUUUGUUCUGACCCAAGUCUCUGACUCUCCGUGUUCACAGCGGACCUUGAUUUAAUGUCAUACAAUUAAGGCACGCGGUGAAUGCCAAGAGUGGAGCCUAAAGACCACAGCAAGACCUCCUCCUCCGCAAAAGAGAAGACCCUACAGCGCAUUAGCCCUAAUUGAUUUGAGUGCACCAGACUUGGAAAUGGAAAUGCGACAGAAGCAAUGCAUUUAUGUAUAAUUAUAGGACAAAUGUACGUGGAGACAUGCAAUUACUCGCAUUUAACAUCCACUGUGCACCAGCCCAUUUUUUACCACGUGUGUAAUUAGACAUGUAUGUAUUUUCUCUCUAUAUAUAUUGAUGUGCUGUGACAUUAUCUUUGUUUUCACUGUUCACUUUAUUCGCUAGAAUGUAUGAACUGGCAGAAAGCAAUGUAGACAAAUAAAUAAUAUUUUUUUCGGAGAGUGAUGGAGAUGAUAUGAAAGAAUGUAGUGUCAUAAUUUCUUGUUCAUUGAGACAAUGCAAAUGCUUUAUUAAUUGCUUUAUUAAUUGUACUCAGUAUGUGAAAAUAUGACAAGCCUAGUCAUAUGCAAAAUAGGCCUGCCUGUGUUUCUAUAGACACCCCUUCCACAGCACUCCUAACAAUAGGCAAACGCUGCUGUGCGCUGUCCAGUGUGCUGAAUUCAGCACUCUAUCUAUCAUAAGGCCAUCAGCAGUGCGCAGCCAGAAAGGAUGAAUUCACACAAGCGUGACUAAUAGCUACCCCUAAACGACAUACCAUGGAACAACAGGAUAUAGGUUGGAAUAAAUACAAAACAGACUGCACCCAAGCUGUCUUGCAGAUAAUCAAUGUCUUCAAGCACUUCAUAGGGCUUCUGUGCCAAGUACACUCAGUAUUAUAGACAGCACUAAAUGCGAUUCAAAACAGUUUUCUUCAAAUAUCUUCCACGCAAUUGCGAAACAAUAGACACAUUCUGGGAUAAUUCAAUAAUUUGUGUAAUGACAGUGAAAGAAUUUUUAUUUUCCUGGCUAGUUUGUCUCCGAUUAUACUGUAGCAAUGCGGCAUUUUGUAGAGGUGGGAGAAAAAAAAAAAAGGGGAACUGAUAUGUGGCAAGGCAACUACGUAAUAUCAAUUGUGAGCCUCAACAAAAGAAUCAUUUACUGAACCUGGCUUGGUAUUUGAAGGCAGUGAUUUACAAAUCAAUGUAAAUCAGUCCUUUAACACUGUAUACGGAAGCUGUAAUUCUGUUCUGCUUUAUUCACAGUUACAGCAUUCCACUCAUAGAGAAUACAGUUCUAGCACACAUUGUAAGUCUAUGGCAAACCUAGCUGAGCAUUGUGGUUCUACAGCAUCAAGUCAGACAAAUAUUCUGCAUGGGGUGGUCCUGUAUUAUUAAACAAAGAUAGGAUACAUCUUAGUAAUUUAAAAGUAAUAUACAUACAUAGAUUGCAUGCAGACUUUCAGUAUGUUAGAAAUAAAUGGCUGUAGCACUGCCCAACGUCGCUUAUAGUGUGUGCAUAAAUAUACCUUUAGAUGGGUUUUUUUUUAUCAGAAAAAAAAGCUAUUGUCCAUGCCAAGGAAACAAAAAAAAACAAAAAAAUACUAUACAUUACAGACGGUAUGGAAAAAAAAUCAGUGGCAUUAUACCACCAAGACCAGAUUUUACUGUGGUAGUAAAAUGACGCAGCACCUAUUAAAUAUUAAUGGCGUUAUAUAACUAUAAAUAGCAUAUCGCUGAUAGUAGACUUCUUACAGAUACAAUUAGAAGGGGUUUUAGCUUCCCUAUUACACAGAAUGUAUAAGAUGUAGAGUGGGGUUCAAAUUUAGAACACAUAGAUCAUAUUCUUAUACCACUUAAUAGACUUGAUUGCAUAAUGGGCAUUACAAUUUUCUUCUUACAUGUAGAAUAGGUAAUACAAAAAUAAUACUGCCUAUAUAUUAUCUAAUUCAGCACUCCUUUUUGACUGCAGUAAGAACACAAAAUUGCUAAAAAAAAAUUACCCCAGCUGAGAGAGCAAGCAGUAUUAUUUAUAAGUACAGUUUCAGCAAUAGGAAUGUGUAUGCAGUAGCGCCCUCUGUAGGACAUUGCCAACACAAUCAGUAGCACAGGCUCUUGCGGGGGAUUAUAGUUGUGGCCAUGGAGAUAUUAAAAAUGCAAGCAGUCAUGCAAAUGAUACAGAGGAUAAAAGGCACUUCAGUACUGAUUGAAUGUAAUGCAUUAAGGUUUUAUAGCAGUCAUAUCGUGAGCUAGAAGGUCAUCCAGAGCCAGUAUGUGCAGACACAAGUGUGCAACAUAGGAAGUACUGUCAUGUAUGAAGACAAGCAUCACACCAGAUUAAGACUAUGGGGCACAAUUACAAAUGACUACCUCACCCGAGUUUUCCUUAUGUAUUGUAUAUAUUUUUUGUUUUUGGGGGCUCUUAUAUUUUUGCUGAUUUAAUUAUGAGUGAAUUUGCCAAAGUCUAUUAAAACCCAUGAAAGGAUG